rnacentral:rRNA from 1 species
CAGCCGCCACGGGAACACGGAGGGGGCUAGCGUUGUUCGGAAUUACCGGGCGUAAAGCGCACGUAGGCGGCUUGGUAAGUUAGAGGUGAAAGCCUGUAGCUCAACUCCAGAAUUGCCUUUAAGACUGCCGAGCUAGCAGGUGAGAGAGGUAAGUGGAAUUCCGAGUGUAGAGGUGAAAUUCGUAGAUAUUCGGAAGAACACCAGUGGCGAAGGCGGCUUACUGGCUCAUACUGGACGCUGAGGUGCGAAAGCGUGGGGAGCAAACAGGAUUAGAUACCCCUGUAGUCCCUGUCUCUUAUAC